rnacentral:rRNA from 1 species
CUGGAUGGUAGUGUAUUGGACUACCAUGGCGGUCACGGGUAACGGAGAAUUAGGGUUCGAUUCCGGAGAAGGAGCCUGAGAAACGGCUACUACGUCUACGGAUGGCAGCAGGCGCGUAAAUUACCCAAUCCUGACUCAGGGAGGUAGUGACAAGAUAUAACAACGGGACUUUAAAUCCCGAUUGCAGUGAGGGUAUUCUAAAAAUAGCUUCGAGGACGAUUGGAGGGCAAGUCUGGUGCCAGCAGCCGCGGUAAUUCCAGCUCCAAUAGCAUAUAUUAAAGUUGUUGCAGUUAAAAGCUCGUAGUUGGAUUUCAAGAGAUACAUCUGGGAUAACCGGAAUGAUCUCUACGGUCUUCAGACUGUUACUGUGAGAAAAUUAGAGUGUUUAAAGCAGGCUAUUGCAGGAAUAUAUUAGCAUGGAAUAACGAAUGUGCUUACAAUAAGGUUAAUUGUAGGUUACGGUUAAUAGGGACAGUUGGGGGCAUUAGUAUUUAAUUGUCAGAGGUGAAAUUCUUGGAUUAGUUAAAGACUAACGUAUGCGAAAGCAUUUGCCAAAGAUGUUUUCAUUAAUCAAGAACGAAAGAUAGGGGAUCAAAGACGAUCAGAUACCGUC